GAUGAAGAACGUAGCGAAAUGCGAUAAGUAAUGUGAAUUGCAGAAUUCAGUGAAUCAUCGAAUCUUUGAACGCACCUUGCACCCUUUGGCAUUCCGAAGGGUAUGCUCGUUUGAGUGUCAUUGUACUCUCACUCUCCCGAUCUUUGGAUCGGGAGUGGUGGACUUGGGUGUUGCUGCUUUACCGUGGCUCACCUCAAAUGGAUUCGUGCAACUCCUGGUUGGACAUAGUACGGCGUGAUAAGUGUCUUCGCCGGCGCCUCUGUAAGGAGGGUGGCCGAUCGGGAGCUCUGUGCUUCAAACCGUCUUCGGACAAUCUUUGACAACUUGACCUCAAAUCGAGUAGGACUACCCGCUGAACUUAAGCAUAUCAAUAAGCGGAGGA
rnacentral:misc_RNA from 1 species